UACGUAGGUGGCAAGCGUUAUCCGGAUUUAUUGGGCGUAAAGGGUGCGUAGGCGGCUUGUUUAGUCUGAGGUGAAAGCGUCGAGCUUAACUCGAUUAAGCCUUAGAUACUGGCAAGCUAGAGUGCAGAAGAGGGUUAUGGAAUUCCAUGUGUAGCGGUAAAAUGCGUAGAUAUAUGGAGGAACACCAGAGGCGAAGGCGGUAACCUGGUCUGUUACUGACGCUCAGGCACGAAAGCGUGGGGAGC
rnacentral:rRNA from 1 species